rnacentral:lncRNA from 1 species
GUGCAUUUGGCAGCGUUUGGUUAAAACAAAGAUUUCAAAUAAUGGUUCUGAUUCACCUCUGGUUCAAGAAUGCAACGGUUCAAACAAGUCUGCAGAUCAGAAGAGCAUUUGAUAUCCUGGCUUCUCCCCUAAGAAGGCUAGAGAGAACAUCCUGCAAAGGAUGAGCAGACAACAGAUGGUGUGCUAUCUCCCGCGGCAGAAACACAAGAUCUCCCAGCAAUCCAUAUGCCUUUUGAAUCACCAGUGUGAAGUAAGCAGAGGUUUUUCACAGAUGGACAAGUGUGCACAAUUAAUUGAGAACCUAGCAAACGGUAACUUUACCAUUGCCUCCAGUAUU